rnacentral:rRNA from 1 species
UACGUAGGGGGCAAGCGUUGUCCGGAAUUAUUGGGCGUAAAGAGCGCGUAGGCGGUCCGAUAAGUCGGCUGUGAAAGUCAGGGGCUCAACCCUUGAAAGCCGGCCGAUACUGUCGGACUAGAGUCCGGAAGAGGCAAGUGGAAUUCCCGGUGUAGCGGUGAAAUGCGCAGAUAUCGGGAGGAACACCAAUUGCGAAGGCAGCUCGCUGGGACGCUACUGACGCUGAGACGCGAAAGCGUGGGGAGCAAACAGG